rnacentral:sRNA from 1 species
AGUCAUGAUUGCACUCAAAUAACCCAAUGUAUUAUGGAUCGUAUUCCUAAUGAGAAAUAGUGUACAGCUAAUAUUCAUUGUAAAUAACCAUAACAAUUCAUUUCAAAAUACAUACUGUCCAACAUGAGGCACUAUGCACAUUAUAUGAUUCUUGGAACAAAAAGUAUUUAAUGACUUAUUGAACUUAUAUUAACUAUAAAUAAAUUAGGCAUGACUAUAUUAGGUGGAAACAUUCGCCACUGCUGAAGAAUGGGUAUGUAUAGUCUCGGCAGAGUCUUCCCCAAGUC